UUGGCAGUACUGGAAGUUUAUUUCAAAUUUAAAUUUGGCUGCUAAAACUUUUUGGCGGGCUGCGAUUUGAAGAAGUUGUGAUUGAACUGAUUUUGUGAACAGAUUUUUUUGGAUUUUUCAAGAUGGCUAAUCGAAGAUGGACUGGUUCUGAUGAUGAAAUAAGCGCCUAUUUAGUUGACUUAGAUGGUAAUGAAUCAGAAGAUGGGGCUGAAGAAGAAGAAAUUGAGGAAAAUGAUGAAGAGGUGCAGUUUUAUAGGGACCGAGACGAAAUUCGUCGAGUUUUGGAAUCUGAACCAGAAGAGGCUGAUGAUAUUCCUUUCGAAGGCGAAUCUCUUGGUCCUACGUACGUAGACCCCAAUGAAGAGGAUCCUCCAAUAAUCCAAGAUCCAGAAAUGGAACAGGAACCUGCUGUUCGUAACGGGCAAACUCCACGUCAAGCGAUGAGAAGAUUAUUAUGGAAAAAGCAGGGUAUGAAAACAUCUGAAGAUGACAUAGCUUUUUUGGGUAAUUUACAAUAUGGUGAGCUGGAGUCUUUAGAUACAAUGUAUGGUUUCUUUUCAUUUUUCCUUUCUGAUGACCUCUUAGAGAAAAUUGUUCGAGAAGCUAAUUUAUAUGCUAUCCAGAAAGACCCUAAUUCCACUUUUUCAACCAGUAUCACAGAGGUCCGAAAUUACAUAGGUAUAUUAUAUUUUAUGUCUGUAAUAAAAUACCCGAAUGUUAGAAUGUAUUGGUCUCCUAAGUAUGGGUUUGCUCAUAUAUAUAAUUGCAUGACAAUAAAUCGUUUUGAGAAACUCAAAAGCUUAUUACAUUUCAACAACAAUGAAUCACUCAAUCAAGUCUGUUCCAAGGGGAUCUUAUGAAGAACAGAUGACCACCUAUGAUGGUACAGAUAUUUCUGUAACCAUGUGGAAAGAUAACAAAAUAGUUACUUUGUUAUCGACUUAUGUGGGAGUUGAUCCAGUCCAAAAAAUAAAUAGAUACGACAAAACUAAAAAAGAAAAAAUUCAAAUUGAUUGCCCACAGAUUGUCAAAGACUACAACUCCCACAUGGGUGGCGUGGAUCUCCUU